rnacentral:rRNA from 1 species
GACGAACGCUGGCGGCGUGCUUAACACAUGCAAGUCGAACGGAAAUUGCCUGCUUUUGUCGUGUGCUCGAGGGGCGAACGGGUGGUUACCCCGAGGGUACCCUCCCCUUGACUGUGGGAAAACUUCAGGAAACUGGGGCUAAUACCGGAUAGGAUCUCCUGCUGCAUGUUUGUGGAUGGAAAGCUUCGGCGGGUGGGGAUGGACUCGCGGCUUAUCAGCUUGUUGUGGGGGGAGUGGGUUACCAAGGCUUUGACGGGUAGCCGGCCUGAGAGGGUGACCGGCCACAGGGGGACUGAGAUACGGCACGGACCCCUACGGGAGGCAGGAGUGGGGAAGAUAGCACGAUGGAGGGAAGCCUGAUGCAGGAAGACGGCGCGCGGGAUGGUAGACUUCUGGUGGUAGACAGAAUUCGCCGGGGAGGGACGGUGAGUGACGGUAAUUGUUAAAGAAGCACCGGCUAACUACGUG